UACGAAGGGGGCUAGCGUUGCUCGGAAUCACUGGGCGUAAAGGGUGCGUAGGCGGGUUUUUAAGUCAGAGGUGAAAUCCUGGAGCUCAACUCCAGAACUGCCUUUGAUACUGAAAGUCUUGAGUAUGGGAGAGGUGAGUGGAACUGCGAGUGUAGAGGUGAAAUUCGUAGAUAUUCGCAAGAACACCAGUGGCGAAGGCGGCUCACUGGCCCAUAACUGACGCUGAGGUGCGAAAGCGUGGGGAGCAAACAGG
rnacentral:rRNA from 1 species